rnacentral:tRNA from 1 species
AGCUCAGUUGGUAGAGUGCUUGCCUAGCAUGCAUAAGACCCUGGGUUCAAUCCCCAG